UCAGUGGUUCUCUUGCACUACAAGUUUUCAACAGCAGAGGUCAUCAUAGAGUUUGCGAUGCAUUGAAUGAAUGAACCUUUUUCCUAUACAAUUGGCUGGAAAGCUUCACUUUGCCAUCACUGCAGACAGAGAAGGUGGAUCAAUCCAAAUCGGCAGGCAAAGGUUAACGGAGGGACAGAAAAGGGUCAAAACACGGGAAGGCACACUCAGAAGAAUCGCGGGUAAGCUCAUUGGAAACAAAGAGACAAACUGGCACAGAACAAGCUGUUGGCACAGAGUAAAUACACAGGAGAAGGAGACACAGGUGGAAACAAUAAGGGCGGGGCUUUCAAUCACAGAGGGCGGCGGCACGCAGGGGGGAGGAGUCUGAAACGAGAGGGAAAGGUUCCGGACUCUUCCUGGUGUGUUGCUCACACAGGCAGUGCAGCGUCUUGACUCAGCUGGAUUCCCAUCCCAGAAUCCCUUCCGGUGUCCUGCUGUCCAGGGUCUCUCUCCCCCAUCAUAUUGCCUCUCUGUCUUUCCUUUACCUUCUAUCCACUCUGUCUAAACAUUGGUGCCUCAAGCUUUCCUGUCAAAUCUACCGCUCUGUCUUUGCAUUUGGAAAUUCAUUCUUUGUGUCCCCCUCUAUCCCACUCUGAUCUGUGAUGAAACUUUGAAACAUUUCUGAAAAACCUUGAGGAACCUGAUUCUGCACCAAAACCUGGAACCCUGACUAAUAACCAAAUUGAUUUGGUUUUGCUAUGGUUACAAGUACCUGUCUGUUGAUGAAUACUCUGAGAGUCUCUCGCGCUCUCUGUCUCUCCUCUGAUCACUCACCUUGACUCGGGUUAUUGGUACCUGAUCUAUCUUUUUUGGACAAUCUGAGAGAUUCUCUUCUCUCACGCUCACCUCUUUCAAUCUCCUAUCUACAACACAUACACCUAUCUGUAGACAACUAUUACUGCUUUUACAAAUUGGAGAAAACAUUUGAUAUAUUUUUCUUUUGAGAUUAUAAACUGUAAAGAAACCGUACAACGUCCACAAUCUUUGGUUGUAAUUGACAACGGUUACACAUUUUAUACUUAAGAAUUUAAUCUGGUGAUUUUCAAAAUAUAUAAUUUCUUAUAAAAGGUGCAUAAUUCACAAGACGUGUACUCUUAAUACACAAAAAUACAUUGGAGUGAAAAUCCAUAUUAGAGAAGAGUUUUUAGUUGCUGUGGACUCCGUUGGUUUGUUUUGCUAGCUGACACCUUUACACUGUUAACUUGACUAGUCUACAUACAAAUAAAAAGAAUUUCACUAUUAUUAAUAAUUAUUUAGUGUGUUAAGUAUUUUUUUCAUGUAAACUUACAUUGUUUCAAUCAUUCAGUCUAUGCAUUUUGAUGUCUAACAUCCUGAAAUAAAAUACAAGCAUCUAUAAGGAGGAAAAGGAUUUAUUUGGAAUUGCUGCUUCCUGUCUACAGACCCAACAUUCUUCAGAAGGAUUCAGCUGCCACGACAACUGUUCCCGAUUUGAAUAUAAACCAUAUCAUAGUAAUAAUAUUAGAUAAUUAUAGAAGAUAUUCCUUGCUGGUAAGUGCAAACAGUUAAGGAUCAGAAGAGAUCUGGCAUUGGACUACUGGUUGUGGAUUGGUGCAAAAUGUGUAAUUAAAUUUACAUAUUCCACAAAACUUUGAAGUGAACAGAAUAUUUUCGUCCUAGUGCGUCUAGAAUUGUACUACAUACCAUUUCUGCACUGUAGAUUUGGUUCCCUCAGUAAAUCAUUUUAACUUUUUUAUCAGAGUCAUUUCUAACUUUGUCAAGUCUUAAGAGUUUUAAUUAAGUACAUUUCAUUAUUAAAAAGAGAUUUAGGUGGCUCACAAUCAUUUAAAAUAGCCUAUUUUUAUUUGGUUGUUGUCCAGUGUUAAACUUUAGAUUUUAUAUUGAAUAAAUAUUUCCAAAGAUUUGUCAAGGUUUCUUCUAGAAGUAUAUUUAACAAAUAUAUACUGUCAGUAAGUUCACAGAUCCAGUAUAUACCUGCUCACAGUAUUUAUGAACUAAAAUUGUUUGAUUUAGGGUUUUAGAUAUAGCCUUAAUAUAAUAAGACUAAGGAAUAUACUCAAAGUUGCUGUCACUGGAUUUGACAAUCAAAUAUAGAUUUUUUGACAUACACCAAAACAUAAAUAAUAUAGUAUUUCAGGAACAGUCAAAUUUGAGCAUUGAUAUUGAUCUCUUUAUAGUGUUACGUUUGACAUCACAUUUUCCUGGCUGGGAUUUUCUACAAAGUCAUUUACUUGGAUACUGAAAUGGCUUUUGGUAUAUCAUAACAAAUAGUAUAGUUUUGAAGCAUUUAAACUGCUAAGUGUUACCAAAAAGCAGACAUACGUUUAAUUUAUCCUUACAUCCCGCUUUGUUAAUAAUACUAUUUUACCUUUAAUAUUGUGUUUAGUACCUUGGUUGUGUACAAUACAAGUAAAACAAUAACAUUUUUGGUUUUGACACACAACAAUGCCAAGAAAGAGUAAGAGGUCACAAGCUCAGAGCCUGCGCUGGCAGCGGACCAAAGAGAAUCCCUGUGCAACAACGACUGACGGAGCAGAAUGUGUUGGUCCUGAGAGCAGUGGAGCGGUAAAGAUGUCUGCAGAGUCUCAUCCUGGAAGUGUGAAACAGGGAGUUCCAAGUGAGUCACAGGUAUCAUAUGCAGACGCAGUAAAGAGUGGACGUCACAGUGAGGAUCCAUGUACAGCAGGACCUUCUAAUGCAGACCGUGUAGACCCUGAAGAUCAGCCUUCUGAACAACAUGUCCGUGCAUCCCACAGCCAGGCUUCAAUCAGAUACGGCAGAUCCAGAAAUCGGCAGUGCACCUGUAACUCACUGACCUUUCUUGCAUUCCUCCAUGAGAAUGAAAGCAUCACCGGAGCAGACCUGGACCAUGUUUUGGAUAAAGGUAACACGAUGUAUAGAGAGACCAGGAAACGAGUCACCGAUCACAUCUAUCUGACCACCGACGAGCUCACUGAUGAAGUUCCUGCACGCAGCACUACACACCAUGCAGACAUGACUCAGCUUUCAAGGUACGGCACAUUAGGAGAACCUUUACCUGGAGCUGUGGACAACUUUCUGGACCUGGAGUCAGGACUCAGCUGCUUGUUGUCAGAUGUGAAGUACGCUCUGCUGUUGAUGAGACUCUUGUGUAUCGCAGUGUUCAGAACCAAGUCAGGCAGAUACGGUUUCUUUGACCCACACUCCAGAACAGCCAGAGGUUUGCCCCUACCAGCCGGUUCACGCACACCAGGUACUGCUGUCAUGGUGACAUUCUCACGUCUCAGUGACAUGAUUGACAGGCUCAAGAAGUCCCACAGAAUGAUGGACACACAGUCCUCCUGUAACUAUGAGUUGAAACCUGUGGAGUUCUACAAUGUGAACACAGUAAACCUGAACGAUGGUCUCCCAAACAC
ensembl:lncRNA